rnacentral:rRNA from 1 species
UGGGGAAUUUUGCACAAUGGGGGAAACCCUGAUGCAGCGACGCCGCGUGAUUUAGAAGGCCUUCGGGUUGUAAAAAUCUUUUUUAUGGGAUGAAAAUGACAGUACCAUAAGAAUAAGGUCCGGCUAAAUACGUGCCAGCAGCCGCGGUAAUACGUAUGGACCGAGCGUUGUCCGGAAUCAUUGGGCGUAAAGGGUACGUAGGCGGCCCAGUAAGUUAGAAGUGAAUUAAUAUAGCUCAACUAUAUAAAGCUUUUAAAACUGCUAGGCUUGAGAGAUGGAAGGGAAAGUGGAAUUCCUAGUGUAGCGGUGAAAUGCGCAGAUAUUAAAAAGAAUACCGGUGGCGAAGGCGACUUACUGGGCUCAUUCUGACGCUGAGGAACGAAAGCGUGGGUAGCAAACAGG